GUGCAUCGAACUGCUUCCCUCACUUUCGAUCAUGUUUUUGCUUCAUGAACUAAUGUGGAUGCAAAAGGUGGUGUCCUGUGUUGCAUACCUUAUUGCAACGGAAAUUGUGCCUAUUGUUGUCUAUUUCAACGCGACACCCUCUAUGGGUGCUCGGUUGGACCAGAUAGUGGGGCUUGCGUUCCCCGAACACAUCUCAGUUGAUUGUUCGGAUGGAUCGUGAGUGCUUCACUUGUUCUCUCGGAUGCGGAACUUUUUUCGCGGGUCUGGGGUCAUCGGCCCUUGUUCCCAAUCUCAAGCGUUUAUCGCUUUAAUCGAAAUGACGCUCUAGCCUUGUUUUUGACCACGUGGAGCUCUCGGGCUUUUCACGAUGGAUCAUGCUAGGCGGACGUCGUGAAGGAAUGCUACCUGGUUG
rnacentral:misc_RNA from 1 species